CCUGUCCAAGACAACCUCCACGGCUAUGAACUCGACUAGUGUGUUUUUAACUAUGUUGGCCAAUGAGACAAACACCAUACUGUCCAACUCAAAGAUGAGAUAUAAUCAUUUGACCCUGUGAUUCUUCAGGACCAGAUCUUGAUGCCAUCCACACUCAGUACAUGACGAAGAUGCUGUGACAAAAAGCAGUCAAGCCACUGCAUGUGAGGUGGAAGCCG